GUUGACAGAGAAUAACAGAGAUCUCAUCUCAAAGGGGGCCAGAGAUGGUGAAAGGAAGAAAGGGGAAAACCCAAGGCAGGUUCUCUGAGGAAAUGACUUUUAGGUUGAAACGGGGAGGAGGGGGAAUCCACCACCAGAGAAGGGAAUUGAGACCCACAAAGGUGAAGUAAUUGGCUCAGAGUUAAACAGCCUGACAACAGAAGAGACAAGCACCGCAUCUUCCGGUCUAAAAUCCCUCUCGAGGGUUCAGGAUACAGGAAAAGUAGUUAUGCCUGAAGAUAAGUUGCUGACUUCGCUUCUACUUCAGUCACCCCUUUCUGAUCUUCCCAAGAAGAAAUAAAGAAUGAACAUUAAGGACAAUUAUGAAGCAAUACCCACAAUAAAACAAGAAUGAGAUCAUUUUAUUAUUCAAGGAACUGAAAUAAUGUAGAAUUCAUGGAGAGAAGAUGGGGAAGGAUAUUGUAAGGAGAAGGAAUAGCAUGAGC
rnacentral:lncRNA from 1 species